GAUGAACGCUGGCGGCGUGCCUAAUACAUGCAAGUCGAGCGAACAGAUGAGGAUCUUGCUCCUCUGACGUUAGCGGCGGACGGGUGAGUAACACGUGGAUAACCUACCUAUAAGACUGGGAUAACUUCGGGAAACCGGAUCUAAUACCGGAUAAUAUAUUGAACCGCAUGGUUCAAUAGUGAAAGACGGUUUUGCUGUCACUUAUAGAUGGAUCCGCGCCGCAUUAGCUAGUUGGUAAGGUAACGGCUUACCAAGGCAACGAUGCGUAGCCGACCUGAGAGGGUGACCGGCCACACUGGAACUGAGACACGGUCCAGACUCCUACGGGAGGCAGCAGUAGGGAAUCUUCCACAAUGGGCGAAAGCCUGACGGAGCAACGCCGCGUGCGUGAUGAAGGUCUUCGGAUCGUAAAACUCUGUUAUUAGGGAAGAACAAAUGUGUAAGUAACCAUGCACGUCUUGACGGUACCUAAUCAGAAAGCAACGGCUAACUACGUG
rnacentral:rRNA from 1 species